UACGUAGGCAGCGAACGUUGUUCGGAGUUACUGGGCGUAAAGGGCGCGCAGGCGGUCCUUCAAGUCAGAUGUGAAAGCCCCGGGCUCAACCUGGGAACUGCAUUUGAGACUGGAGGACUUGAGGACGGGAGAGGAGAGUGGAAUUCCCAGUGUAGAGGUGAAAUUCGUAGAUAUUGGGAAGAACACCGAUGGCGAAGGCAGCUCUCUGGACCACAACUGACGCUGAGGCGCGAAAGCUAGGGGAGCAAACAGGG
rnacentral:rRNA from 1 species